CUAAGGUCCCUAAUAUAUGCUAAGUGGGAAACGAAGUGGGAAGGCUAAAACAGUCAGGAGGUUGGCUUAGAAGCAGCCAUCCU
rnacentral:rRNA from 1 species